rnacentral:rRNA from 1 species
UUCGCAAUGCCCGAAAGGGUGAACGAGCGACGCCGCGUGCAGGAUGAAGGACUUCGGUUUGUAAACUGCUUUUCUACGGGAAGAAUACCCGGGUCGUGAACUCGGGGGAGACGGUACCGUGGGAAUAAGCCUCGGCUAACUCCGUGCCAGCAGCCGCGGUAAGACGGAGGAGGCGAGCGUUGUUCGGAAUUAUUGGGCGUAAAGGGCGCGUAGGCGGAUGGGAACGUCGGUCUUUGAAAGCCCCCGGCUCAACCGGGGAAGCGGAGCCGAAACGACCGAUCUGGAGGGACGUAGGGGGACCUGGAACUUCCGGUGGAGCGGUGAAAUGCGUUGAGAUCGGAAGGAACGCCCGUGGCGAAAGCGAGGUCCUGGACGUCUGCUGACGCUGAGACGCGAAAGCUAGGGGAGCAACCGGGAUUAGAUACCCCGGUAGUCCUAGCCGUAAACGAUGGGCACUAAGUAGAGGGGUUUU